rnacentral:rRNA from 1 species
GACGAACGCUGGCGGCGUGCUUAACACAUGCAAGUCGAACGGAAAGGCCCCUUUGGGGGUACUCGUGUGGCGCACGGGUGAGUAACACGUGCGUAACCUGCCCUUGACUUCGGGAUAACUUCAGGAAACUGGCUCUUAUCCCGGAUAGGAAUCCUUGCUCCAUGGUGGGGGUGGGAAAGCUUCGGCGGUUGUGUAUGGACACGCGGCUUAUCAGCUUGUUGGUGGGGUAGUGGCUUACCAAGGCUUGGCCGGGUAGCCGGCCUGAGAGGGCGACCGGCCCAAUUGGGACCUGGAUACGGCCCAGAGUCCCACGGGGAGGAGACGGGGGGAAUAUUGCACGAAGGGCGGGAGCCUGAUGCAGCAGCGCCGCGGGCGGGAGGACGGGCUUCGGGUUGGAAACCGUCUUUCGCAGGGGCGGAGCCUGUAGUGACGGUACCUGCAGAAGAAGCACCGGCUAACUACGUG